rnacentral:tRNA from 1 species
CACUAUGAAGCUAAGUUUCAGCAUCAGCCUUUUAAGCUGGAGAUUGGUGUUUACACUCACCCUUAGUGA